rnacentral:rRNA from 1 species
CAGGCCUAACAAUGCAAGUCGAGGGGUAUUGGUUUUCGGAUCAAGAGACCGGCGCACGGGGCGUAACGCGUAUGCAAUCUACCUUUCACAGAGGGAUAGCCCAGAGAAAUUGGAUUAAUACCUCAUAGUAUAACACAGUCGCAUGGUUGAGUUAUUAAGUUACAACGGUGAAAGAUGAGCAUGCGUCCCAUUAGCCUGUUGGUAAGGAACGGCUUACCAAGGCAACGAUGGGUAGGGGUCCUGAGAGGGAGAUCCCCACACUGGUACUGAGACACGGACCAGACUCCUACGGGAGGCAGCAGUGAGAAUAUUGGACAAUGGGCGCAAGCCUGAUCCAGCCAUGCCGCGUGCAGGUGACGGUCCUAUGGAUUGUAAACUGCUUUUAUACAGGAAGAAGCAGUUCACGUGUAGAACCUUGACGGUACUGUAAGAAUAAGGAUCGGCUAACUCCGGCCAGCAGCCGCGGUAAU